AACAAAUAUAUAUCCAGGUCUUCUAAACUUGGUUUGGGUUUCCCCGUUUGUUU
rnacentral:tRNA from 1 species